GGGGUGUCAACGGCAUCUGAGCGGAACCGCAAGUGCUUUUGUUUUCAGACACUUGCGAUUUCGCAGUAACGGUUUGCAAAACCGUUAUUCCUGGGUUCGAAUCCCAGCGCCGCCU
rnacentral:tRNA from 1 species